rnacentral:miRNA from 1 species
GGCUUUGCUCGGAGUGCUGUGGC